rnacentral:lncRNA from 1 species
GGAGGACGCGUCUUGAAACCACCGGCAGCUCCAUUUGAGCCAAAACGAGGAAACGGUGCGUCAAAGGUGUGGCCGGCUGCUUCUUGGUGCCUCGCGUCCCGGAUAGGGGUCCCCCGACGCCCUGCCGGGAAGAGGGCAGGGGCCCGAGCGGGUCUCGGCGACAAUGACACGGUGGAAGUCACAGCAGGUGCAGUGAAAGUUGCCCCGGCGGAGGCAGCUCGGCCCCUUCCUGCCCGCACAGCGGAGUGGCGCUGCAGACUGAGCACACGAGUCCGCAGCCGCGCGUUCUCCUCGCUCAGAGCCAGCAGCUGGCCCUCCAGCAGCAGGAUACCGGAAAUAUCAUCUGCAAACCUGCUCACGCCCUUCAACAUAUUGCAAGUUCAGGUGAGUACAAGAAGCGCCAUUGUAAGAUCACGAUCCACAUCUCAUCCUGGCCACAGUCUAUCGCUGCACUCAUUUGAAGAGAAACGGUCAGGUGUGAAAGCACAACCGCACAAAACCAUAACUGAAAACCAGAGAAAAUUGCACAAGACCCCUCUGGUGAAGUUUGUACUGACGAGUGAGAGUAGGGAAUGUUUCGAGCAGGUAUCAGCUCUGUUUGAAAAACAAAAAAACUCCGGCAGCUUUUUCUAUCUGACUCAGUAACCACAGAGGCCACAGGCUGCCAUGUUCCAACAGUCGGGUUAUUCUUUCCGUAAGAAGCCGGUCUCCAGAUUUUGAAAAGGGGCAAAUGUUAAAGGGCUAAAUGCUAGAAUGAUUCUGAAUGCUAUUCAGUAAAUAUGUCAGAUAUAAAAACACAACAAUAACAUAAUAAAUGCAGCAGUGAUAUGGUUUUUGAGACUAACUGACUGAGUCAGGUGCUAUUGAGGAUGACUCGCUGUCAUCGUUCACAUGCUCAGAAUGCAUUAUGGAAUAUCAUAGUGGGCCUGCAUAACUUUGUUUUUUUAUACCACUGCCACAUUCACAUUAUGUGGCAACACCCACAUCCUGACUGCAGUGCUGCAGAUGAUUUCUCUUCAUGCGGAGGAUCUGUUUAGAACAAUAGCAUUUGUCCUUUUUGUUUUAUAGUUUCCAGUUUAACACUUUCAACAGUUGAUUGAUGAGCAAGUUGUUUUGUUUUUUCAUCUCAAUCUGUAGUAUUAUAAGCACAUUUUAUUUUUUAUCACGUUUUGUAACACACCGACAUGUAUUGUUAAAGUUCAAUCAUUGUUUUGUUGCAUUUAAUCUGCAGUUUUUUUUAAUUUAGUAUUUGCUUUCUUUGUUCUUACCUUUCCGUACUACUACAUUCAUACUGAUGUCAUCAUUGAUGUCAUGAUUUCUGGUUGUAUUUAUGUUACAGUACAGUUACAGUGUUAGUGUUUUCUGUAAUGUUGAAGAGUUUUCAUGGUAAAUCAUGUUUCAUUAUUGUUUGUACUGAUGAUGAACAAACUGAACAUGUAUUUGUCAUGAUUACAAUAAAAGAACUCGGGUAAGCUUAUGGUCACAGUUUGGUUUGGUUUAGGCAUAAUAACUACUUGGUUAUGUUUUGAUAAAGAUUGUGGUUUGGGUUAAAUACUUCCUUAAGUUUGGAGGACCGUCGUUGUCAAGGUUUCUGGAGUGGUCACAAAUAAAAGAAAAUCAAAA